AGUGGCGGACGGGUGAGUAACGCGUGAGAAUCUGCCUUGGGGUCGGGGACAACCACUGGAAACGGUGGCUAAUACCGGAUAAGCCGAUUGGUGAAAGAUUUAUUGCCCGAAGAGGAGCUCGCGUCUGAUUAGCUAGUUGGUGAGGUAAGAGCUCACCAAGGCAGCGAUCAGUAGCUGGUCUGAGAGGACGAUCAGCCACACUGGGACUGAGACACGGCCCAGACUCCUACGGGAGGCAGCAGUGGGGAAUUUUCCGCAAUGGGCGAAAGCCUGACGGAGCAAGACCGCGUGAGGGAGGAAGGCUCUUGGGUUGUAAACCUCUCUUCUCAGGGAAGAAGCUCUGACGGUACCUGAGGAAUCAGCCUCGGCUAACUCCGUGCCAGCAGCCGCGGUAAUACGGAGGAGGCAAGCGUUAUCCGUAAUUAUUGGGCGUAAAGCGUCCGCAGGUGGCGAUUCAAGUCUGCUGUCAAAGCACGGGGCUUAACUCCGUAAAGGCAGUGGAAACUGAAUAGCUAGAGUGCCGUAGGGGUAGAGGGAAUUCCCGGUGUAGCGGUGAAAUGCGUAGAGAUCGGGAAGAACAUCGGUGGCGAAAGCGCUCUACUGGACGGCAACUGACACUCAGGGACGAAAGCUAGGGGAGCGAAUGGGAUUAGAUACCCC
rnacentral:rRNA from 1 species